rnacentral:tRNA from 1 species
GCCUGGGUGGCUCAGUCAGUUAAGCGUCCGACUUCGGCUCAGGUCAUGAUCUCGCGGUUCUUGAGUUCAAGCCUCGCCUCAGGCU